UAGGGAAUAUUGGACAAUGGGUGAGAGCCUGAUCCAGCCAUGCCGCGUGCAGGAAGAAGGCGUUAUGCGUUGUAAACUGCUUUUUGCCAGGGGAUAAAAAGACCGUGCGCGGUUAAUUGAAGGUACCUGGUGAAUAAGCCACGGCUAACUACGUGCCAGCAGCCGCGGUAAUACGUAGGUGGCAAGCGUUGUCCGGAUUUAUUGGGUUUAAAGGGUGCGUAGGUGGCCCUGUAAGUCAGUGGUGAAAUAUCUCAGCUUAACUGAGAGGGUGCCAUUGAUACUGCAGGGGCUUGAGUACAGAUGAGGUAGGCGGAAUUGACGGUGUAGCGGUGAAAUGCAUAGAUAUCAAGAGGAACACCUGAGGCGAAGGCGAGUUGCUAGGCUGACACUGACGCUGAGGUACGAAAG
rnacentral:rRNA from 1 species